rnacentral:rRNA from 1 species
AGAACGAACGCUGGCGGCAGGCUUAACACAUGCAAGUCGAGCGAAGGUUUUCGGACCUUAGCGGCGGACGGGUGAGUAACGCGUGGGAACGUGCCCUUUUCUUCGGGAUAACCCAGGGAAACUUGGACUAAUACCGGAUACGGCCUUCGGGCGAAAGAUUAUCGGGGAAGGAUCGGCCCGCGUUGGAUUAGGUAGUUGGUGGGGUAAUGGCCUACCAAGCCGACGAUCCAUAGCUGGUUUGAGAGGAUGAUCAGCCACACUGGGACUGAGACACGGCCCAGACUCCUACGGGAGGCAGCAGUGGGGAAUCUUGGACAAUGGGGGCAACCCUGAUCCAGCCAUGCCGCGUGAACGAUGAAGGCCCUAGGGUUGUAAAGUUCUUUCAGCGGGGAAGAUAAUGACGGUACCCGCAGAAGAAGCCCCGGCUAACUCCGUGCCAGCAGCCGC